CGUGCCUAAUACAUGCAAGUCGAGCGAGCGGAACUAACAGAUUUACUUCGGUAAUGACGUUAGGAAAGCGAGCGGCGGAUGGGUGAGUAACACGUGGGGAACCUGCCCCAUAGUCUGGGAUACCACUUGGAAACAGGUGCUAAUACCGGAUAAGAAAGCAGAUCGCAUGAUCAGCUUUUAAAAGGCGGCGUAAGCUGUCGCUAUGGGAUGGCCCCGCGGUGCAUUAGCUAGUUGGUAAGGUAAAGGCUUACCAAGGCGAUGAUGCAUAGCCGAGUUGAGAGACUGAUCGGCCACAUUGGGACUGAGACACGGCCCAAACUCCUACGGGAGGCAGCAGUAGGGAAUCUUCCACAAUGGACGCAAGUCUGAUGGAGCAACGCCGCGUGAGUGAAGAAGGUUUUCGGAUCGUAAAGCUCUGUUGUUGGUGAAGAAGGAUAGAGGUAGUAACUGGCCUUUAUUUGACGGUAAUCAACCAGAAAGUCACGGCUAACUACGUGCCAGCAGCCGCGGUAAUACGUAGGUGGCAAGCGUUGUCCGGAUUUAUUGGGCGUAAAGCGAGCGCAGGCGGAAGAAUAAGUCUGAUGUGAAAGCCCUCGGCUUAACCGAGGAACUGCAUCGGAAACUGUUUUUCUUGAGUGCAGAAGAGGAGAGUGGAACUCCAUGUGUAGCGGUGGAAUGCGUAGAUAUAUGGAAGAACACCAGUGGCGAAG
rnacentral:rRNA from 1 species